AUGGUCAUGUGUGCACAGUUUGCAUCUGUGUCUGGUAGCAGUGUCUGUCUGUGUUUUGCAUUCAGAUUUUGUUAUCCACACAAAAGCCAUGCAGCCAAAGAGUAAUUUGAGGUCAUAGUACUGGCUCUGUGCUGUCCCUUUGGACACAUUCACCACAGGCCAGCCUCCAAAUCCCCACACAUAG
ensembl:snoRNA